AUUACUUUGGCAGAUUAGUGCUUUAAAUUUAGAAUUUAAAUAUGUGUUUAACACAAGUAAUA
rnacentral:tRNA from 1 species